AAGUGCCUGUGUGGGUUUUGUGUCUUCAUCUCUGGCUUCUUCCAGUGGGAAGUAGGCACUGGGAGCACUGGGUUUUUGUCCCGGGGCAGCUCUGCUGGGGCAGACGUUCCUGCAGGAUGGGGAUGCCAUGGGCUUGGUCUUCGGGGCCUCGUGGGAAUUGGAGGGCAGUGUUGGGUCAGUGCACCCCAGAGCCUGCUGCUGGGCUUCAGCUCCUGCUGUGGGUACGGAGAAGCCACCUGGGCUAGAAUUAAAGUGCUGAUAACUGCUGGAUGACCCACCAUCCAUCCAUGCGGGGGGAACCAAUUGCAAGAGCUGAAGUUACACAGUCAAUGACGCAAGGGAAGACGUGGUAGCUGCCUACAGGGGAGAGAGAAGUACUCGCAAAUGGGAGCGAAGGAGCUGAGACUCAGAAUGGUUGGAGGAAAUUCAGAAAAAGGCCUAACUCCUCACAAGGCAAGGAAUGUAUUUUGCCAGUGUUUGGUGGUAUUCUUCACCAUAAUGUCUCCCAGACAGUACGAGUUGUUACGUCCCUAUGGUGCCAGCGUCCUGGGCGUGAGGAUGUAACUGGUCAGGUGGUCAGAUUCUUCCUCUUCUCUUUUGAUUUCAUUAUCAGUCAAGCUGCAAAAUCAUUAUUUUUCCCUUUUCAUUAUAUUCCUCCCCCCAAUUCUCACCACUUUCUUACCACCUAAGUACUUCUUUCUCAAACACUCCCCUCCUUCUGCCUGUGCUGCUGUCUCUGCAGAGUGUCCUUCUUAUUCCUUCUGAGAGAAAGGAACUACACCUGCGACCUCCCUCCUCCCCCGGCUCCCCUUCACUCCUCUCUCCCUGCAAACACCUCUGUCCCGCUGUCCUCUGCUAACCCUUCUCUUUGGGCUCCCCGUGCCACCCCAAGCAUCUUCCUUCCCUUCCCAACCUUCUCCAGGAGCUGCUGGUCAGCAGUCACCAUCCCAAGCCCUGGGAUGGCAGCCAAGACUCGGUGUCUCACCAAACCUGCUGCUUUCUGCCACGUGAUGAUGUUUCUCCUCUCUGUCUCUGCUCUCUGACCUGCUGAGGACUGCCUGCUCUCCACCUUAUUAUCCUCGAGCAGGUCUUGCAUGAAAUCCUGCAGCCAUGCCAGUGGUGAGCUAGGAUGCCCCCUGGGCUGGGGCAGCAGGGCUUUGUGGUCUGCAUGGUGACCAUCAUCAGCUACAGGAAACUUCAGCCUUGUGGCUGAACAUGGCCCUUGGAAAUGGCUCGAGAAUGGAAGAUCGGACGCUGGGUAAUAACUCAUUUUAUAAUACCAGCAGGAAAGAGGAGUGCUUCCUGCUCCACUAGGCUGUAAGGAUAUCCUUGAGGAGAAGCCCACAUGUUCUCGAGAAAGGCUGAAAUCCAGGCCUUGGUGCUUCGCAUGAUUGCCGUCAGAAUUCAAUUCUAGGUUGCAGGAUUGUGCGGGACCAGGCUCCUGCCUCUCAACAGAAACAACAGCAGGGGUGCGUGGCUAUGCAGGCAGCAAAAUCCAGUAGUAAGACGUACCUGCGGGAUGUGACCUCUGCAGCACACAAAAUGCUUACAGCUAGGCUGUGCAGCAGAAGUGGCUCAGGAGUGGUGGCUGCAGGCUGGCAGAGUGGGGACACUGGCAGCAGGGAGACAGCCAGACCAAGCACUGCGUCCUGCUGUCUGAAAACGCAGCACAGGUUAUUGCAGCAGCAGGCAGCGGUUGUUGGAGCGAGCUGGUUUUGCCUGUCAAAGCACCUCCACUUCAGAGAGUCACUCGGCAUCGCUGAAUGUGCCUUCGGAUGAUGACCUAGAACAUUAUCUCCUUGCACGUUGCACAUCUCCCAUCUUCUCUGAGAGGAGGGAAAAGAGAAACCUAUGGCACUUAGGAAAUGGAAAUAGAAAAGACAUCUUCAGAUGUUGUAGCAAAGCGGUGAUGACCAGGACCCCUCAUGCCUUACGCUGUGCAAUGUGGUGCAAGCAUUGAAACCUUUUUUUGGCAUGCAGAGCUGCGAUGGACGUGCUCCUGUCUCAGUGCUCCACCUGCACAGACAGAAGAAAAUCUGAGCAGUGUCAGGUGCAUGACCUGCAGACCAGGAGAUGACUCAAUCUAAUUUCAUCCUGCAGUGAGCACUGGUGCACCUGUACAAUGAGCAGCACGUUAUCACACCCUUUGCUCAACUAUCUCUAUAUAAUAUAUUUGGUCUUUAUAGCCUUUGGUACAUCAUGUUAUUUAUUCUUUCACCUAAUGUAUUUGGAGCAACUUGCUAGCAACGUGCAGCCCUAUUUAUCCUUCUAGGGACAACAAUAGCGGGAAUAAAUGUUAAACUAAAGGAAGGAAUAAAAAAAAUAGCAGCUCUAUUUGUGCUAUGCCGAGAUGCGUUUCUUGGCAGCCCUAGAGAUUCAACAGUCUGGUAUUUAUCACGAUGAAACGCAGAAAUGUCUGAUGAUUGCAUGAAGGGAAAUAAAGAGACUGAGCGCACACUGCAGGCUGAGAGAUAAGGGUACGUGUUCAUGGCAGGCAGCUGCUGGAGCAGUGGUAUGUCAAGUCGGCUGCCAGGGGCACGGAUCAGCAGCGGUAAUCGGCAGCUGUUGGAGGUCAAGCCCCGUGGUGUGGACGUAGCCGCUGGGAUUUCUGCCUCCGAGGAAACCAAAGGGCAGCCUCAGCUGCAGCUGCUAGCGGAAAAUCUCCCUGAGAGCUGGACCUCGGGGUCAUCCUGAGAAGCUGCCACUGUGAUGUUGUGAGCCUGAAAAGAAGCGUCAGCCUUGUGCAUGAGUGUGCUUGUGCAUGAGGAAUUUGCACGUGAAGCUGCCGUGACGGUCGGUGCCUGGGCCACGGCUGUGGACAACGUCCUCAGAGGUGCAGGCCAAGGAGAUAACGUUCAUUACUCUGUACGGAGGGAGGGAGAUAACCACUCUUCAAGCAGUUGCAUCCCAGUGAUGGAAGUCCCUCAUCUCCCAGUGCUUUGUGUUAUUUACAGGAGCACAAAGCUGAAGAAACUCAUGCUUCUAUUUUGGCUUCAGUUUGUCCUUUUACACUACAGAGUACUUGGCGCAAGAUUCAAGGGACUAAUGAACUGCAUCCCAGAGCUGGCGUUUCCUAAAGACAGCUCAAUAUAACAUGGGCAUGCUGCUUAUCGCAUGCAUCUUGUAGGCUCACAUAGGUGGCAGUAUGAAUCUUUGCCUGGCAAAUUCCUCUGACAACUACUUUCUCUGUCCUUUCUGGCCUGGAUAAAACCACCAGCCUUUAGGACCAACGAUUGCCUCUCCUGCAGCUGAGACCACUGAGUUACCCUGGUAGCAGGCCCUGUCACUCCACAGUGCCAAGGGCAUCAGAAGCAAUUAAAGAAAAAUGAGAAUUGAUUUGAAGAAUGUAAUAAUCAUUCAACUAGCUGGGGAAAAAAAAAGAUUGUAUCAUUGAUAGAGAGUAAAUGUUAUUCUUUCUGGUAUGAUAAGCAUUAUGGAACCCACAGAAGUAAGCCUGAAACCUCAAGGACUUACACCAUAAAUGAUUUAAUUCUGAAGAACAAGAAAAUAAUACGUUGAAAAUCAAUCCAAGAGGCUAAGAAAGUGAGAAGUGGGCAGCGGAAGGGUUUCUGUCUCCAGUGUUGGCUCAGGCUAAGAGCCAAGUAGCCCUCUGGCCCCCACGCCUGCCUUUUCAUAGCAGUUUUCCUUCCCAGCACAUCAUUCUCUGUUCAUAUUUGUAGCCAGUUCCACAGCUAUUCUUGGAAAUACAGGGAUGUUCCUCCUUGGCAGUUCUCACGAGGUCUGUCCUGUUGGGGCAGAUGCAGCUGGAGCUUGGCCAUGCUACAGCUCCAGAGAUUCGUGUCCUGGUGAAGCAGAGCACCUCCAUUUCCAGGUGAGUUUUCCCUACAGGUAGGACACAUCUGGGAUGUCAGAGCUCGUAGCUUCUGGCUUCUCAUUGCUCUAAGAGGGGACAAGAAGGACAGGUUCAUUGAUCUUUGUAAAGCAUUCAGUGAUUGCCUCACUCUUCUUUCAAGUUCUGGAUGUCCCUGAUACACAACACACACAUCAAACCCUGCCCAACAGAGUAAUUAAGCGGCUCUGCUAACGGGGUGUGAGAGGAUGUGCCUGACUACAGCUCAUCCAGGAUUGUCUUCCACAGUCCCAGGCCCUCCGACAUGCUUCUCCCGCAUUUCUCUGAAUUUCUUUCUGCAUUAAUUUCAGCUGGCCCUGGGAUUAUUUGAAAUGUGGCCUUGGGGGACUUGUUCAAAGGCACUGCCACCACAGGUGACUUUGCAUUUUAAACCGAAGCAUUUCACUCCUAGCUGUCUGGACACAGGAGCUGCUCAGCACUGCUUCAUUAAGCAAGUUAUUUUUCCCAGAAAGAGCAAAACAUUGAGAGAGGAAUUACCAUUUGCUUGUGAAACAGCUGCAGAAAGGAUGAGGCACAAGCCCUAUGUGCGUCCCCCCUGCUACUUGUGUGAUUAACCAGAUGGCAGAGCCGAGAGUCACCCACUCGCACUUGCACGACAUGUGGGAUGUUAGAAAUUGCACCUGAAUUGAGUGAGGAUUGGUAAGGGACCUCCAAAAGAGUGGUUUUGAUGUGAACAAGAGGGGGACCAUCAACACUGAAUAGGAAAAUGUCUGUGAAAGAUUUCUCUUCCCCCCUGGCCCCACCCCAUGUUUCCAUUUUUUUCUCCCAUUUUUCCCUUAAGGACUUUGACAAUGACCACUUAAGAAAACCUCCACUCUAGUUUAUCAACACAAACAAAUGAAAAGAGAAAAUAAAACCUGCCCAUGGUCCUCAUUCCCCUAAACAACAGCUAAACCCAGCAGGCACCCAAUGCUUUCGAAAUGCCAAGGGACAGCAAUAAGCUGAUGUUAUUUGGAGGUGCCCUUACCCCAUAACACGCUUAAGUUUCUCGGUGGCUUAUACUGCUCUUACAGCACGGAGUUAGAGCCAAAGGUCAGCAAUAAAGCUGUUCUGGUUAUUUUAUUUAUUUAUUUAUUUGUUUAUUUAUUUAUUUAUUUGUGAAUGCUGAUUGCCCACAGCUUGUGCUGCUCAAAGCAGCUACGGCUCAUGCUGAAAAAGUUACACAAGUGAAAAAAGUGUUGGAAAGCUGUAGCCAGUUACAGAGACGGCCAAAAUCUAAAAAAGGAGGUGAGAGGACUGGAAAUGACCUUUUCCUGUACCUGGAAGCACACACAUAUCAUUAAAUAUUUCCAGUGGUGGUCACUGUCGUGGCAGGCAAAUGGUGGGUGGGUUGUUUCAGUGGACAGCCUUCCCCACUGCUGAAAAUAUUCCUGUAUACAGCAACCUCGUGCUGAUGUCCAGCUAAGAACCCUUUAUUGUUACAUCUGUCAUGUACAUUUCUACAGACUGCAUUUAAAGUGUCAUUUAACCUUUGAUUUCUUAAUGAACUAUGCUCCUUGGGUGUCUCUCACAAAGAUGUGCUGUCCAGCCCUUGGGGGAGCCUUCCUCCAACCCUCUCCCUGAAGAGGUUGCAGGAUCUCAGCAGCCAUGCCUGCAACAGAGGUAAUAAAACCUCCCUCGUCUUCCUUGGUGUCCCCUCCUUUUGGCUUCCAGGGAAGUGUUAGCUCCUCUUGUCACAGCAUCUCAUUAGGAGCUCGUGCUCAGCUGAUUAUUUCUCUUCUGAAUCACUGUUUUCUACGACUUUGCCUCCCGCCCUGCAGUCCAGCUGCUGCUCUAUUCUUAGGCGGAUGACUUUACAUCUGGUGGUGCUGAAAAACAUGUUAUUUGCUUAGGCUCAGCUCAUUAAGUGUUUCAGAUUAGGUUUUGUAGUGGUGACCUGCCCCUAACUUUGUACAUCUGCAGAUCACCGGUAAUGAUUCUGUAUCUUCUUUUAGGUCACUGAUCGCACAUUAAAUGGUGCAGGGUCAAGAACCGACAGAAGGGAACCGUGCCAUGUUCAGCGAUGAGUCUGCUUACAACUGCACUCUGAGACCCAACGGUUUAGAAGCUCCCAAGAGAUUCAGAUUUUUCUCACCUCACUGCAUUUGGAUUAUUACUUAUCUAUAUUGUGAAUAAAUUAUUUUAAUACAUUCCAAGGAAAAAAAAAAAAGCAAACAUUUUUCCUCAUCUAUCGCUGCAUACCAAAUAACCAGUUUUUAAAACCCAAGGGGAUUUAAAGCAAAUUUAUUUACCCUCAUUGAAGGAAAUGACAUUAAACUUACCAUGGAAAAGUGUUGUAAUUCUCCUUUGCUGUACAUACAUUACCAAACCGCAGACAGGCAGUUAAGGAUGAAUUACACCAAGCUUUUGCUAUAGAUUUGGGAUUUCUUCCCCAUACUGAAAAGUUCUCUAUGCAAAUAUGUUUUCCCCUACAAUAUCUUUGAAAUACACUGCUAUGCUGAUCCUAAUUUUUUUCAAAGCUGCCAAAGAGAUGUGUGUGCACAGGUCAUUAAUUGUUAUUAAUACUAACUGGACAAUGAAAUCUACUAAGCAGUUUUGAAAAAUCAGAGCUUAUUCUGCAUCUGAUCGACCCUGUGAGGGCAUUCGCAAAUCAUCUCAAUGCAGUGGGUGGGGAGGUACUUGUCCCCAGUUGUCUGCCCUGGACCUCAGCUACAAGAUUUUACUGCUGAAGUAAAGUGUACUUCAGCAGUACAUCACUGGGUUUUUCAUCUGCAAGCAAACUGGCAAAUAUCUACCCUAAGAAUGUGAACUCAGCCAAAGAAGUAAAGUAUAGCAUGCUUCAUUCCUCUGUUGCUUUCCAUUUCAUGAUGUUCUAGACUUUCAGUAAGGUUAUUCACUCAAAAAUAUUCUAUUGAGAGAAAAAGAAAGAGACAAACAAACAAAAAUACUUGCCAGAUGUCAUAAAACACUCUGAGGCUGCACCAGGAGCAUAAACCAUCACCCUUUGGUUCAAAUAAAAGAAUAUGCUCCACCUCCCAUUUGCUCAAUAAUCCUACCAUUUUGCUGCUUAGGUUACUGGUGUAUAACAAAGCCACUUUUAUCCCGCUCUGACCUUGCCUGGUAUUCAGAAAAGGCAGGGAGAAAUACAGGAUUCAUUUUCAUGCAUAAGUCUCUGUCACAGCUGCAUCACCUUCUAGUUCUUCAGUUCUUUGAGGUCUCUCAUCGGAGUACUCUGGUGGGCGUCCUGAUGCUUUACUGAUUGCCAAUCCUCACGCUCAGUGGCUGUCUUAUCAGUUGUCAGCAAAACGCUUUCCGUGAUAAAAUGGAUCAAUUGUAUGCUGAUCAUCUGCUCCUUGAAUUACUGAUGUUUUACAGCGGAAUGAAUUUUUUUACCUAUUUCAAAGAUGUCUGUCAGAAAAGAAGGCUUACAUGCUCAGCCACGGGAUCUUUCUUUCUUCAGGGGAUAGUUUCUCCAAGCACUGGAAUCUAUCUAAAUAAAAAAAUCUGUUCAUCAUAUGUCAGGAACAGCUCCAAGAGGACUUUUCCCAAUGGCAAAUAUUUCGGCCCAUUAAAACUGCAAGAUUGCUUUUUUGACAUUAAAUUACCCCCCCCCCCCCUUUUUUUUUUUUAAUAUUAUUAUUUUUUUUAAUUUUACUCACGUUGACCACUAAAAACAGAUUUGUUAGGUCAUGGUUUGACCCUACAGCAAAUCUAACUGUAAUGAAGGAUCCAUAAUGGAGCAAUGAUGCAAAGCACUGAUGUGAUUUAACUCACUGUCCCAGCUCCCGUUUGCUUUAAAAACAAACAAACAACAGCUUAACCUUCUGUAAGCAAGUUUUAUUCUGGGUUAGGUAUCACCUUUUUAUUACAACUUUAUCAGGAAUCAUCCCUCCACCUGCAGCUGGAAUAAACUUCCAUGCUUUAUGCUCCGUGUAAUUCAACAAAAAUACAGUGGGGAAUGUACAUCUGAUCCACAUGGAACUGAGAUUGUUCCUGCUCUCCUUUAAUUAUGCUUUUGGCAUCAUGGUCUUAGUAUCAUUUCCAUUCCUGAUCCCAUCCUGUAGCAAGUGAAACUGAUGAGAAAAAAAAAAAAAAAAUGUAACUGAACGCUCCAUUCUCUCUAGCACAAACACUGUAGUUGCCUUUUGAGUUCUCAAAUCUGAAGGGGAAAAUUUGAACUGUGAUUAUUUAAGAAUACUUCAUUUACAUCAAUAGUUGGGCUUGUCGCUUUCUACAUGUUCAAGUUUCAACAAACUUUGAAUGCCAACCACCCCUCAAGUUGACAGCAAUCUCACUACUGUUAUCCAUGAAGUACCAAAAGGAGAACCGAAGGUCUCCCAUGGUCUUUCUGAAACCACAUAAAUCCUCACAAAGAUGCUCUUCUUGUGUGUUCUGGUUCUUCCUCAAAAAUAAAGAUGACGCUCAUGGAAAUUUGUUUUUACUGUUCCUAAUGGCCUUUUCAAGAGAUACUUUUGAGUCAGUAAAAUGGGAUCUUUUCAAACUUCUAAAGGAAUCCCUUCUGUUCUCUGCAAAGCCUUAACCUCUCCCUCUUCUUAAACCAGUGCUAGUACUCAGUGUGGCACUCCAGCCCCUUGGGUUCAAAAAUGAGCUCAUACGUUUUUUUUCUCUCCUAGUUCUCUCCUAUUUCUUUUCAGCUACAGUUUUCUUCCUGCUGUGUCUUAUUGAUUUCUGAUUCUGCUGCUCUGCCAGCCUCUGACAAGGGAUACGCACUGAUCCUGGAGGUAACAGGUGGAAUUCAGCUUCAGUGAGUGGAACUACAGAGAUAUUUAACCUAUCAGCAGGCUUACAGAACAUGGGAAGUGUGGUGUUUGAUUAAUUAGGUUUCACAUCUAGCCUUUCUGUGGUGUGAGGAGCGUCUAACACAUGGCACCAGGCCAGCCUUUGCUUUAUGUAGUGUAGCCUGAGUAAGAUGAGGGGAAACCCUAUGCAUCUACAGAGUGAGGAAGGUGAACAUCUUUAACAGCCUUGCUGCUAAUAUUUUUUCCUCAAAAAAUAAAAACUAGCUUGGGAACGCUGGACAUUGCCCGCCUCAAGAGCUGGCACCUCGCGCUGUGAGGUGACACGAAAUGGCCCCCAUACCAACAGGCCUGGCUCUUGUGGGAACACUAAAACUGCCAGUCAUGACCCUUGAACAGCGCCACCCUUGGGCUCUACCGAGCCCCGGUACGGCAGGGGGCGGCAGGGGACGG